CCACAUUCGCCGACAAACAGCCCCUGCUGCUGCUAAGCAAGAAGAAGCUCGUCGUUUUUCUAUUUGCGCCACCGUGAAUCACUGCGCGCUUCUUUCGAACGUAUUUUUCGCCCGCAGCACGCUACUUUUUGCUUGACCUCGAUUGUAUCGUCCAGUCGGCGGCAGCCAAGACGUUGGAAACGAGACGAUCGACUGCCGCCGUGUGUUUGUUUGCUUUGCAGACGAGAGAAGUUUGCGGUCGAAGGCACGGUGCGAGCGCAUCCAUCGGAAGCGCCUUCGAAGUUUGCAUAAACAAUCGGCGGCCGCUUCAAUGCCGACCUUGCGGUCUAUUUCUGGGAGCACCGGGGCCGAACUAAGUACACAAAGUAGAGGGUGUUCGGCUACGACGGGGGACGAGAUGUGCGCAUUGUAUUUUCAAGGGACCGCCGCCAACGAUUGGCGUUGUUCCCCGUUUGAAGAGAUGAGUUGAGGGAGGAGGAAUGCAUGCCUCGCGGUCCCGGCCGGGCGCGCCCUUUGUCAUGUCCAAUUAACCUCGGUGCUGCUUUUGACUCGGCCAGGCUAAGAAGCAGCUCAUCCUUUGUUGUUGUCCUAGGCCGCGGCGUCAUUAUUGGGGUUGGCUCUCUAUCUUUGUACCGUGCAUAUUAUGGUUUCGUCAGACGAGAGUCAGGUGAGGACUAGUUUUCGCAACUUGGAAAAUGAGUUUCUGCGAGGAUAUCUGGGACGUUUUUGUGGUAC